UCUAAAGGGAAAAAGAAAAUCAUUAGAGCACCAAAAUUUUUAAAAAUGCAUACCUCACAUCCAUUUUUAAUGAAUAUUGAUUGACAGCUGUGUAGCAGGAACUGUUUAAAUGCUGAGAAUAUAGCAGUGAACAAGACUGAUAGUGCCCCUACUCUCACAAAAAACUUACCUUCUGAGAGGGUACGAUGGCAAGGAGAUAAUAAGCAAUAAUGAAAAGAUGAACAAAAUCAGUUCGGUUUCUGUUAAUCAUUUGAAUACAUGAGAUAGUGGUGUUAGGUGUUGGGAAUGGUCCUUAUCCUUUCACAGUCAAAAAAGGCUUUUUUAAUGAGAUGACAUGGGAUGUGAUCCAAAUGGUGAGAAGGAGCUACCCACAUAAAAAGGCCAGAGAAACCACUGCAGGAAGAGGAAACAGCAAAUAGAAGGAGUCUGAGAUGGGAAUACUUGGAAUGUUUGGCAACAGAUUUGAGCUGGGUAAACAAAGAGGAAAGUGUAAGAAUGGAGGUUACAGAGAUGACCACAGGACAUAAAGCCUUGAAUGUGGUGGUAAAAAUUUCUAAGUUAUUUUUAAAAUACAGUGGUAAGUUAUGUGUAAGUUUGAAGGAGAGAUGUGACACAAUCUGAUGUACAUUUUGGAAUGGUCACUGGCAGUUGUAUAGAAAAUAAAUUGUAGGUGCACACUGCAAGACAAGUUAGAAAGUUCUUGCGGUAGUCAAAAAAGUGUUUCAGACUCUAGUGGUCACAAAGCAGGCGGGGAGGACUGGAUAAAUUCAGGAUAUAUUUUGGAGUUCUUGUUGACAGAAUUUGCUGAUAAUUUGUAUGGCAAGUGACAGAAAGGGGAGAAUGAAGGAUGAAUUUUUAGCUUGAAUUAUACUGAGAUAGGGAAGAGUGAGAGAAAACAGCGUUGUGGAGAAAAUCAAAAGUUCCAUUUAGACCGUGCUAAGUUUGAAAUAAGAUCAAGUAGGCAUUUGAAUAAAUAGAUGAGUCUAGUGGCCAUUAGAGAAAUUAUAUCUGGAGAUGUAAUACUUGAUGUUACAUGAGAAAAACAUUAUAAAACAUAUAAUGACUCCAGUUUUUUCAAAAUUAUAAAUAGAAAACUUGGAAGGACACAUACCAAGGCAUUAUCUGAGAGCUGAGAUUAUACAUUUUCUUCAAAGCUUUUCUCUCAUUAUUUGUCUGUAUUUUCUACAGUAGCAUGUAUUGUUUUUGUUAUGUAAAAAGUUUAAAAUUAAGAUAGUUGAAAAAAUAAUGAAUUAAUAGAGUAAAUGCUUUCUAUAGAAGAAGCAUGUACUAGCAAGCAGGAAAGAAAUACAGAAAAUCCAACUUACUGGUUCACCUUUGAAAUUGGAAAUUAUUAACUAAAGGCUAAGGAUAAGCUUCAGUCUCUGAAAUUGGAUGAAAAAAAUGUGUAUGACUGAAUUUUUCUCUGUAGGGAUUAUAUCACUUUGAGCAGAUUCUCUAAGGGAUCUGUGACUUUAAAAAGUUAAAAAAAAAAUGGAUUUUAAUGGCCUGAACCUUUUCAUGAUGAGCUUUAGAUACCAGUAUUCUAAAAGUAAUCAUGGCCACUAUCAUAAGGGCAAAAUACAGGUUUUGUUUUUCCUCUUGAUAAGUUAGCAUCAAUUUUGGUGGAAGAGGGGGCUCAUCUUGUCUUUUUUUCACUUUUAGUUAAACUUUGUGCAUUUGAUAGCAUGUAAAUGAGUAAUAGAAUUCCAUGAGGCUUUCUGUGAAAAAUCACAAUUCUUUGCUCACACCUUUCCUUAUUUUACUUGUUCUACAAGCAUUUAUUUGUUCUCAAAUCUGUUAAAUGAUUCUUUAGGUAUUUAAUUCCCUAUCUCUAUAUCACAUGCAUAUAUUGUUACUUUGAUGUAUUUUUUUUUCAUUUAGGCCAUAAUGUGCUCACUUUUUGCUGUGGAAGUUAAAUGUAUCUCUUUCUCCCACCAUUCCUCAUCUCUUUCUCCGAUACACCUUUCGUACCCACCAUUCUCUCAAUAUGGUUAUAUCAUAAUUUUACUAGAUGACUAUUCAUUCAAUGUUUAUAUUAUGACUAUAUAAGCAUUCUUCACAGUUGAGCCCCUCUUGCAUGGUUUUUUAUUUGCCAUGUAGUAAUUUUCAGUUUUAUUAUUUUUGUUUUAGAUUUGUAUAUAUUUAGCAUUAAUUCAAUCCAUACCCUUUGUUAUUUGUUUAAAUCUUCUCUCAUUAUAGUUAGAUGCAUACAUAUUUUAUCAAAUUGGAAGAAAGCUCACCUGCUCCAAUCUGAGGUGGGUGCCCUCUACAAAUCAAGCACAGCCAUCAUCCUGGAGUCUCCAUCAUCUUCCUGGAGCUAUCUUUUGCCUCAUACCUCUGCCAGAUUCCUUGUUUCCAGGAUCCCAUACAUUUCCUUUUCUUAGUUUACUUCCUCAUUUUUCAUGGAACAAAUCCCAGGAAAAGGGUAAAUAGAUGAUACAUUUAUUUUGGGAUCUUGCAUUGUUUGAAAAUAUGUUGAAUAUUUCUUCCCACUUAAAUGGCAGUUUGGAUAGAAAUAGGAUUCUACAUUAUAAAUCCUUAUCCUUCAGACUUUUGGAAGCAUUGCAUUGUUCUAUUGUAUUCAGGCUUCCAGUAUUUUGGUUGAGAAAUCCAAACUACUUCUGAUUUUUGGUCCUUUCAAAUAUGACCUUUUUCCCUCCCCUUUCUCUGAAAGCUUUUUAUUUCUCUUAUCAGCACU